rnacentral:tRNA from 1 species
GGGGAGGUGGCUCAGAGGUUAAGGGCACUGGCUGCUCUUCCAGAGGUCCUGAGUUCAAUUCCCAGCACCCACA